rnacentral:rRNA from 1 species
UACAGGGGGUGCAAACGUUGCUCGGAAUUAUUGGGCGUAAAGCGCGCGUAGGCGGCUACUUAAGUCGGAUGUGAAAGCCCCCGGCUCAACUGGGGAGGGUCACGCGAUACUGAUCGACUCGAAGGCAGGAGAGGGUAGUGGAAUUCCCGGUGUAGUGGUGAAAUGCGUAGAUAUCGGGAGGAACACCAGUGGCGAAGGCGGCUUUCUGGCCUGUUCUUGACGCUGAGGCGCGAAAGCCAGGGGAGCAAACGGG